UACAGAGGGUGCAAGCGUUGUUCGGAAUUAUUGGGCGUAAAGCGCGUGUAGGCGGUCCGGUAAGUCCGCUGUGAAAGUCGGGGGCUCAACCCUCGAAUGCCGGUGGAUACUGUCGGGCUAGAGUGCGGAAGAGGCGAGUGGAAUUCCUGGUGUAGCGGUGAAAUGCGCAGAUAUCAGGAGGAACACCAAUUGCGAAGGCAGCUCGCUGGGACGUUACUGACGCUGAGACGCGAAAGCGUGGGGAGCAAACAGG
rnacentral:rRNA from 1 species